UACGUAGGGGGCAAGCGUUGUCCGGAGUUACUGGGCGUAAAGGGCACGCAGGCGGUCGCGUAAGAGUGCGGGGACAGUGGGCGGCUUAACUGCCCAAGGGUCGCACAGACUGCGUGACUAGAGGGCCAGAGAGGGACCUGGAAUUCCGGGUGGAGCGGUGAAAUGCGUAGAGAUCGGGAGGAACACCCGUAGCGAAGGCGGCCGACUGGACCACACCUGACGCUGAGGCGCGAAGGCCAGGGGAGCGAACGGG
rnacentral:rRNA from 1 species